AUGCACUCUUGGUGCAGCUCUCGUUAGCGCGGCAAAGCAUUCCUCGAAACACUAUGAAGUCUGCUUACCUUUUCGCCUUAACUUUCUUUUUACUUUGUACUACAUGCUUCGGGAUGCAAGCCUUCUCUUCUGAUGAAUACGAAGGGUCUCCUUGUGACUGUACAAGCCAUGAAGCUAAUAAAGCAUGCCCCGGCAAAUGCGCCUGCUGGCCAAGAGGGGAUACGCCAGAUGGACCUACGUGCAUUGAAAGGCCGAAGAAAAAUUAGGGAGGCAAGCACAUGACGACGCAAGCCCUUCAUAAGCGUGGCAAGGGCUCUCGAAGAAUAAAGGCUUUUU